CCGAGCGCCGCGCACGCACCUCGGAAGCAGUAGGCGUCGAAGCGCGCGGCGGGCGCGGGGAAGCCGGUCCGGUUGGCGAAGCGGUACACGAGAUGGGGGUCUCUGCUAUGUUGCCCGGCUGGGCUGGAACUCCUGGUGUCCAGUGAUCCUCCCACCUCGGCCUCCUGGAAUGCUAGGAUUGCAGACUAAGCCUGUUGCUGUGUCACUUCUCUCUCUCUCCUUCUCCCCCCCCCACUUUUCUCUCUCUCUCCCUCUCUCUUUCUCUCUCUUCAGCUCAUCUCAGCAAACGGUGAGAGGCGGGAACCUCCAGCUUCUGCCGACAGCGACUAAAAAUAACCUCUCAGGUCAGGAAACCAGGGAUCAGAGAGGCUAGUGUAUCGUUCAAGGUCACGGAGCAAGUGCGCAAGGAUUUGAAUCCAGGGCCACUGGACUUCAGGAUCUAAGCAGCAAAGCCUGGGUGCUGGAGUGAAUCCGAGCCGGGUCGGCUGGCCACCUGUUCCUUGCUGUGUGACCCUGGGCAAGCAGCUUAACUUCUCUGUGCCCCACUUUCUUCCUGGGUCACACGGGGAUAACAGCAGGUAGCCGGGCGGAAUGGAUGAGUCAAUACAUAUAAAAUGCUUAGAACUAA